AACAGGAUAGCCAAGCGGUCAAAGACGCUGCGUUCAGGUCGCAGUCCACUCGUGUGGGCGUGGUUUCGAAUCCCACUUCUCAUAAGGUAA